CCUUUUAUCGCAGCCUUAUUAGUCUCCUACUCAUCUUGAAUGGGGAGGGGCUGGUGGGGAAAUGAAUGGGAGCUGUUGAGUGCUAAUUGGAAAAGGCUUUUAAUCACAGGCUAAAGACUUUACAGUGACUUGAAAGUUACUUCUGCCUGGGAAGGGGCCCUCCCUACAUACACAGAGACAGACAGUCAUUUUAAUCUAUCUACCAAGGCAUUAAAAAAGAAAACUCCAUUGACUUUAAAGGAAUCUGUUGGUCUUUAAGACCUGUAGAUUUGCCAUCCAUGAAGCUGUCUCAUUUGCCUUAGCUGAGGAAUCUUCAACUAUGAAGAUCUAGAUGCCUUCAAUGAUAGUUGGGUGCAAAGAGAACAAAGUACAGAGACUAAUAGCCUUCCUCCAAGAUUCUACCUUAAAUGGCAGCAGAGUACAGAAUUUGCUAGAGCACAAUUCUUCAUAUAUUUUUUUCAAAAAGUGAGCCCAACUGAGUUCAUUCAACUUUAAUUUCAGAUGAGCUGCAUUGAUAAGAAAACAGCCUUCAUAAAGUGCAACUUAGAGCCACUUUGCUCUAGUGAUGAAGACACCAGGCUAGAAAACCAGGAAGCCAUGAGUUGAAGUCAUCUUAGGCAAGAAGCUAACUGCUUUCCUUGGGCUAGUCACACUCUCUCAGUCCCAGGAAGGAGGUAAUUGCCAACCACUUCCAAAAUCUUGCCAAGAAAACUGCAGGGACUUGUCUAGGCAGUCUCCAGGCAUCAAGAAUGAUUUGAAGGCACACACACACACAUGCACACAUAUACACAAACUAUUUCUAUUUUGUGACUUGAUGAACCCAUGCCAGGGUGUGGAAGAGUCUGUGCUCACUAGAUAGACUCGCUGUGCCUCAUUUCAUUUCUUUUAAGAAGCUUUCUGGGAAGAGAACGUGUGAUUGCAGCCAGACCUUUCUGCCAGUUGGCAAGGAACAGUUUCUACCUAGAGUAUUUUACUUUCAUCCCUUAUUGUAGAGGGCAACACAACUACUCACUAGGAUUCUUCCUACUUCCCAUUGGCUGGGGACCUUGAAUCUGCUGGUAACUACAGUUGUUUUCUUGGCUCAGCACAAAUUUUGCAGAUUGUCCAAGCUUCCUUUCAAAGUCUUCUUUUUAUGCUGGGGCAGCUUUCAAAUG